rnacentral:lncRNA from 1 species
GGAACACCUGACCCUGCCUGGAGUCUAGAAAAAAGAACAAGACCUGAGAUAUUUCAGGAAAUCCAAGGAUGAGAAGGAUGGACUAGAGGCUAUCUAAAAUACAUUAUCUCAUAUACUUCAAUUCUCGAUAUGAGAGCUCCCCACCCAAUUUCUACAGCCCGCACCCUCAGGUCAGCAGCCGGGGGUUUUAAUUCAGUUCUUGUGGCUGUGUUCACUGUGUCACCAAUGGAUAUGAGGACCCAGUGCCAGGCUUGGUGUCAUCUAAACUUACACUUCCCAAGAGACCCAGUUUAUUGCUAUUUCUUGUAAAG